AAUAGAUACCCCGGUAGUCCCAGCUGUAAACGAUGCGCGUUAGGUGUAUCAGUGACCACGAGUCACUGAGGUGCCGAAGAGAAAUCGUGAAACGCGCCGCCUGGGAAGUACGGUCGCAAGGCUGAAACUUAAAGGAAUUGGGCGGGGGGAGCACCACAACGGGGUGGAGCCUGCGGUUUUAAUCGGACUCAACGCCGGGGAAACUCACCAGAUAAGACAGCUGAAUGAUUGUCGGGCUGAAGACUCUACAUGACUAGCUGAGAGGAGGUGCAUGGCCGUCGUCAGUUCGUACUGUGAAGCAUCCUGUUAAGUCAGGGCAACGAGCGAGACCCACGCCAACAGUUGCCAGCUCGUCCUCCGGGAUGGAGGGGACACUGUUGGGACCGCCUCUGCUAAAGAGGAGGAAGGAAUGGGCAACGGUAGGUCAGCAUGCCCCGAAUUAGUCUGGGCUACACGCGGGCUACAUGGGUGGGACAAUGGGUAUCGACGACCGAAAGGUGAAGGCAAUCUCCUAAACCCAUCCGUUAGUUCGGAUUGUGGGUC
rnacentral:rRNA from 1 species